rnacentral:ncRNA from 2 species
UGUGCUAUACUAGAUGAGUUGUCAAACGAGCAGGCUAGAUCAUCUUUGCCUCAUGUUGCGCAACCCUUGGUGCUUAGCUUCUUUCGCCAAGCAUAUUACACGCGGUAAAACCGCCAAAGGAGAAUUUUAUG